rnacentral:rRNA from 1 species
GACGAACGCUGGCGGCGUGCUUAACACAUGCAAGUCGAACGGUGAACCUCCUUCGGGAGGGGAUUAGUGGCGAACGGGUGAGUAACACGUGGGCAAUCUGCCCUUCACUCUGGGACAAGCCCUGGAAACGGGGUCUAAUACCGGAUAACACUGCGGAUCGCAUGGUCUGCGGUUGAAAGCUCCGGCGGUGAAGGAUGAGCCCGCGGCCUAUCAGCUAGUUGGUGGGGUGAUGGCCUACCAAGGCGACGACGGGUAGCCGGCCUGAGAGGGCGACCGGCCACACUGGGACUGAGACACGGCCCAGACUCCUACGGGAGGCAGCAGUGGGGAAUAUUGCACAAUGGGCGAAAGCUGAAUGCAGCGACGCCGCGUGAGGGAUGACGGCCUUCGGGUUGUAAACCUCUUUCAGCAGGGAAGAAGCGAAAGUGACGGUACCUGCAGAAGAAGCGCCGGCUAACUACGUGCCAGCAGCCGCGGUAAUACGUAGGGCGCAAGCGUUGUCCGGAAUUAUUGGGCGUAAAGNGCUCGUAGGCGGCUUGUCACGUCGGAUGUGAAAGCCCGGGGCUUAACCCCGGGUCUGCAUUCGAUACGGGCAGGCUAGAGUGUGGUAGGGGAGAUCGGAAUUCCUGGUGUAGCGGUGAAAUGCGCAGAUAUCAGGAGGAACACCGGUGGCGAAGGCGGAUCUCUGGGCCAUUACUGACGCUGAGGAGCGAAAGCGUGGGGAGCGAACAGGAUUAGAUACCCUGGUAGUCCACGCCGUAAACGUUGGGAACUAGGUGUUGGCGACAUUCCACGUCGUCGGUGCCGCAGCUAACGCAUUAAGUUCCCCGCCUGGCGAGUACGGCCGCAAGCUAAAAACUCAAAGGAAUUGACGGGGGCCCGCACAAGCAGCGGAGCAUGUGGCUUAAUUCGACGCAACGCGAAGAACCUUACCAAGGCUUGACAUCGCCCGGAAAGCAUCAGAGAUGGUGCCCCCCUUGUCGUCGGGUGACAGGUGGUGCAUGGCUGUCGUCAGCUCGUGUCGUGAGAUGUUGAGUUAAGUCCCGCAACGAGCGCAACCCUUGUUCUGUGUUGCCAGCAUGCCCUUCGGGGUGAUGGGGACUCACAGGAGACUGCCGGGGUCAACUCGGAGGAAGGUGGGGACGACGUCAAGUCAUCAUGCCCCUUAUGUCUUGGGCUGCACACGUGCUACAAUGGCCGGUACAAAGAGCUGCGAAGCCGCGAGGCGGAGCGAAUCUCAAAAAGCCGGUCUCAGUUCGGAUUGGGGUCUGCAACUCGACCCCAUGAAGUCGGAGUUGCUAGUAAUCGCAGAUCAGCAUUGCUGCGGUGAAUACGUUCCCGGGCCCUUGUACACACCGCCCGUCACGUCACGAAAGUCGGUAACACCCGAAGCCGGUGGCCCAACCCCUUGUGGGAGGGAGCUGUCGAAGGUGGGACUGGCGAUUGGGACG